UCUAUAUUCGGAAUCUUCAUCAAGUAAUUUUAAAAUGUGUAAAAAAAAAAAAAAAACCCAUAAGACGCCACUUCACGUAAGGCGGAGCACUGCCUUACCAUCUCUAGACCGCAUCAGAGCCAAGGCCCUGGUAAGGCAACGCCUUAGCAGCGCCUUAAAAACUAUGUUUGGGACUUUCAUUCCUAAGCUAUUUUGAGAUCUAGUUCAUCAUCGGGUCUUGAAAAAGAGAACCCAUUUUAAUCCUCAGUACAUUUAUCUAUGGUAUGGGAUUCUACACUCUGUAUUUACCAAGGAAAAAAAUCUACUCUAUUCCACAUUGGAUAAGGAGGCGAGCAAACCCUUUGUCAGCUCCACCUCAUCAUCCCAUAUAAAAUUUCUUUACCUAUUAUUAGUCCCACAUCGGGCGAUGGAGAAAACAUCUCACUUGGGUUUUCCUAUAUAAAGGCAUCAUUGGUCCCAAUGGAAAGGAGGAAGAAAUCUUGGGUAUCGGGUCUGGAGAAAUCUUUGUUUUGGGUUUCCUACAAUCAACCCACUAGUUAACAUUUUUUUUUUAGUUUCGGCCUUGAGCUUGGGCUCGGCCUUGAGCAUUUUCAGAAGGGAUUUUCCUUUUAAUAGAAGAUUUGUGACACUUGGACGGGCUGAAUCCACGUGGUUUGCUGAGUCGGUGAAACCCAAUCAAGGCAUCAUUGGUCCCAAAGGAAAAAGGAGGAGGAAAUCUUGGGUAUUGGGUCUGGAGAAAUCUUUGUUUUGGGUUUCCUACCAUCAGCCCACUAGACAUUUUUAUAGUUUCGGCCUUGAGCUUGGGCUUGGCCUUGAGCACAUUCAAAAGGGAUUUUCCUUUUAAUAGAAGAUAUGCGACACUUGGACGGGCUGGAUUCACGUGGUUUGCUGAGUCGGCGAAACCCAAUCAAGGUAUUUUUCUUUAACCCAUUUGUUUAGUUAAUUAAUUGGCAUGUUUAGUUAAUUAUAAUAUUUGAUUAGGUUAGUACAUUUAUUUAUGGUAUGGGAUUCUGCAUUUCGUAUUUACCAAGGAAAAGAAUCUACUCUAUUCCACAUCGGAUAAGGAGGCGAGCAAACCCCUUGUCAGCUCCACCUCAUCAUCCCAUAUCAAAUUUAUUUACCUAUUAUUAGUCCCACUUCGGGCGAUGGAGAAAACAUCUCACUUGGGUUUUCCUAUAUAAAGGCAUCAUUGGUCCCAAUGGAAAGGUGGAAGAAAUCUUGGGUAUCGGGCCUGGAGAAAUCUUUGGUUUGGGUUUCCUACCAUCAGCCCACUAGUUAACCUUUUUUUUUAAGUUUCGGCCUUGAGCUUGGGCUCGGCCUUGAGCAUUUUCAGAAGGGAUUUUCCUUUUAAUAGAAGAUUUGUGACACUGGACGGGCUGGAUCCACAUGGUUUGCUAAGUCGGCGAAACCCAAUCAAGAGGAACCGAUAUGCUGCUGUCUUGUAUUUUUAUGGUGACAGUCUGUGCUUGCAUUGUUGAUUGAAGGUGAAAGGUAUUUGGACAUUGAAUGUUUCAGUUAUAUUCUGUACAUGCACAUAUUCCAUUUAACAUGAGUUUUAAGGAGGAGAUAAGAAAUGCAUUCUUGGGUAGAGUAAUUUUUAUUUGGUCUGAUUCAUUUUUGUGAUCCCAUUGAUUAGUAGAUGAUGUUGUAAUUGGCACUGAUCAUCUAUUUGAUAAAUUCCUGAAUGAAAUUCUAUGCCAUGAUCAUAUUUUCGGUUUUUAUGGAAUGGAUAAUAUUUAGGGGAGCCUUUUUCCCCCCCUUAUUUGAAAUUGAUGGCCGGUGCUCUUGGAUUCAGUUUGAUAAGCCAACCUUUGCAUUGGAUCCCAAACCUCACAAAUUGGAAGCCUUCGCUCUGACCCACUCUGAGCUCGGAUCGUCCCUAUUUGGUCUGAUUAUUCUCCCUGAGUCCUUUACUAAUGUUCCUGCUGUGACAUACAGAAUUCUCACUUAUUUGAAGUUCCUUGGGGCUCCUAUGCUCAGUCACGGCCCUGGCCCAAAUCAAACAAGAUAAUGUGUAGUCAAUUGGGGGUUUGGUAGGCCUUUUAAAAUGUUUAAUGGGUUACAGCUUUCAAACCAUUCACUGCUAAUUCCCAGGCACACAGACGAAUGAUUACUGAAUUUGGGGAAUUUGCUGGCCCACUCCAGCCCUUUAUGAGCUUAGUCAACAGACUUAUUCAGCAUUCUUUUCAUAGUUAGUAUGAUUAGGGUGUUUUUAAUUUAUCAUGUUCUUAGUGUAAUUUAAAUUAGGCUAAAUUGAUAUAAUCCGCAUGCCUAGUGUAAUUCAUUUAAGAUCUUAUUUCUGUUUAAACUAGCUAAUGUAAUCAUAAAAUAAUCUUAUAUUAAUUAUUUUAUUUUAUAGCAUUCAGUAGUAUAAUGUAAUCCUAUUUCACAUCACAUAGUUAUAACAUAUCAUUUAGAUAUUAAUGUAGCCACAGUGUCUACUCUUCACAUACGAUAAAUUAACAUAGCACAUCAUGUAGACAUAUAAUAUAUAGUAUAAUCUUAGCAUAUUUAAUAUGCGAGCAAAACUUGUAGCUGGACUUCUUUUCCCAUCAUAUGAUGAUGUGGCAUUAGGGAAAAAGGUCAAACAUUGUAAUUUGAAACCUGGUCCAACCUCUCCUCUCCUUUUUUCUCUCCUUUGCAGAUUAGAUCUCUUAGCAAACACCCCCGCCUGCAAGAUCCCCAUAAUUCCCUUUAUUCCCUUGCCACAACUAUGCCUAAGGAUUAAGGAGGGCCUCGGAAGAAUUGAGUGCAGGAACAGGAGGAGCUCCUCCAAAUAAGAAACUCCCCUUGUACUUUUAUCGUUACUCUCACUCAAUUGAUUAGUAAAUUCAACCAUUACUCACCGCCCAUACCAGCAAAUCAAAGUCCAAGAGUAGCUGAAUGGUAGAAAAACAGGGGUGGGGGGGGGGUUAGUUCAUCCUGUAAUUCCAAGAAAGAAGAGAAGCAAUGACUUCUGGAUUCCCCAUCCUCUUGCCACAAAUUGGAUGAAGCAAACAUAUUUCUUUUUUGCUGAGCAUAUCAUCGUAGCUGGACGUGGACGGUUCAAGGGAAUGGUUGAAAACAAGGGCUCCGCCUUGUCACCGGUUGUCUGCCCCAUUUCGGGUUCUUGUCAAUGGAGGCCUUCAUUGGUAAGAAGAGAUGCACUUUCCUGGUUGUCUGUGGAUGACAAAGUGUAUGACCUUGAAUCCCACGAAAAACUACAACAGUGAUCAUUUAGAUCCAUGUCCUCCAUUUUCACUGUGUCAGGUUCACAUUUGGGUAUCUUCAAUUUUUGUUUACUGGCUAUGGGUAUGUUGGUUUUCUGGUCUAGGGAUUUGGUUUGAGCCUUUGAGAUCUGCUACUUUGGAACUCUUGCUUCCCCAUGCUUGCCCAGUAGUUUAGGUUUCUUGAUUCAGCUACAACAUGUUGGGCGCAUAUUGUGGAAGCACAUGGUGGGUUGAGAUCAAUCCAUUCAGAUUCCUCAAAUUCCGAGGACCAAAUCGAUUAGCUUGAGUUUUAAAUUUUUUGUUUCAUCUUGUCUGCCUCACCACGUCCAAAUCACUAUCCUCUUCCUUUCUUCUGCCUCCUCUGGAGAUGGAGAGAGAAACGGAAACCUUUCCUUCGGUUAGGGUUUUGGAUGAGGAUCGUUGUGAAUUUACAUUAUUGUUUUACCAAUUGGGAGAAGAGGAAGAAAAAGAUGAUAGGAGCAGAAGUCACCACUGUUGUUUCCAACGGCAGAGUAGUAGAGAAGCAGAAGAAGGGAGACUGGAAAUGGGGUUACCUAUUUGGUAUCGAUUCAGAUACAGAUCAUCAGAGAAGGAGUGGUGGAGGAGAUCGUCAUUCCUGCUAUUUUCUAGUGGAAUUUCAUGGUUUGACUUUGAUAGUUGCAGAUUUCAACUAUUUUUUCCGGCAUAUCUUCCGUGAUUGACGUUGCUUUUAAAGUUAGAAGAAGACGAAGGGGCUUUGGCUCAAGUUGAGCCAUUAUGUUAUCCAAGCCAAGCCUCAAAAAGGAAAGUUCCCACUUUAUCCCUUAUUCCAAAUGGCUCAAAAGAGAAAGCCAACGGUAGGAAAAAGUGGUUACAACAGAUCGGUUACGAACAGAUUAUCCCAUUUAAUAUAGUUAGUAUAUAAAUACAUUUAGUAUUUAACUUAAAUUAAUUAAUCAAAAUAACUUUAAUUAGUUAAAAUCCUUAACACAUUAGUUUAAUUGGGAUCUCAUAACAUAUUUAAACACGUCGCUUAGGGCCAGUUUACCAACUAGCUUAAUUAGGAUUCCGUUACUCACUUAAUCAUUCAUCUAGGGUUAGGUUUAAUUGUUUGUAAUUAGUCUAAGUAAGUUUCAUGAGACGUUAAUUUUGUCUUUAGGUUAAAUCUUCAUUUAAUUAGCUUAAUUAGUCUAAUAUACCAUAACCUAGAUAAGACAACUUAGAAACUUGGUUUAGGGGUCAACACAGUCCAUGCCUAGUCACUUAGCUUAGGACUUUACCCAAUGACUUAGAUUAGAAUUAGUUAAUAGCAAUGGUCUAUAUAGAAAGAGAAAGACCUUUGGCUGGGCAUAUUGGGUGCCUAACACCUUCCCAGCCUAUAACUUGACACUUACCCAGUGACCUGGGGCAGACUAUAGCUGAUUCAUGGAGUUUAUAGUCUCUUUCCCUUGACUGGGGGAAACAUUCAUGGGUCCUAGACCCCUCUAGGUGGCGACUCCCAAUUUACCCAUUUACUCUCUUUCAAUGUGAGUGGGUACAUUCUCGAGGUGGAAACACCUAGACCCCUGAUAAGUACUUACCUAUUAAUCCAGCGACGCCUCCCCUGGCGCUCAUAUGAUCAUGUAGCUACACCUAAUUAAGAUUGCAAAGGUGGCAUGGUCUUUUUCAUUUAAGGCAAACUAGAAUGCCACUUUGUGGAAAACAACAAUUGUGAGUUGGUAUCCUCUUUGGAAGGAUGAGUGGUGACAACAAUUGUAUAUCAUGGAAGGAGAUUUACGUCUUAUUUUCUAGAAUGAGUAACCGUAAAAUUAUUGUUUUGCAAAUAAUUUAUAGCCAAAUAGCUAUGGGCCCAAGCCAAUCUAUUAAUUUGUGCAUCAUAGUUAUCGCUAAUGCGGAGUUUCCAACAGAACAAUUACCUAUCUUGCAUUAAACUGCGAGGUAUUGACUGUUCUCAUUUAAACCAUACUAAAUCCUUACUCAGUCUAGUCGUUAAAUAGUGUCUUGCCCGGAAGUGAAAAUGAUCCUUCCAUCCUAGUUAAUCAACAAGAUGAAGGAUUUGUGCACAAAUCGAUCAAUGAUUUACCAGAGGAUAUAAAGUUUGUUUAUUUCUUUUUUUUAUAUCAAUGUUUUUUUAGAGUUCACCAAAAUAGUUUAAUUGGAUUUGUCUACUUUAGGAUUAUUUGUAAGUGCCUUCGUAUUCACUUUCAAUUUCAUCAAUUGAGUGAGCAGUUGCGGUUUAACUCUAGAAUCUGUCCUUACUUUAUGUUUGCAACGAUUUGAGAUGCCUAAGAUUAAGAGGGCAAGAAAGUUAAAGAUAUAUGUUCUUGAUUUUGAAAUUUUAUUGAUGAAAAUAUCAUCUUCAACUUUCCUCUUGUGACUUGCAACUGAUGCUUUGUACAAUUUAAGGGUGGCAUGCAAGUAGUGGUAUAAUAUGAUUUUGAUCUUCAAUUUGCAUAUUCCAACAUCUCUUAUGUGGAACCUUGUAUCACGCUCAAAACUCUAGUCUAUAAUUUUGAUAGAUUGAGUUUUAUAAAGAUGAAAGGAGGAGAGGUCAGCAUACACAAUAAGCAACAAGGGAGAAAGUGGUUACAGAAGAUUCCCACCAAAUUGAGUUGGAUGACAAAAACCCUUGAUGUUAGACUAGUUUUGAGAAAGCGGCACUUAAAGGCGGCCACGGCAGUGGUGCUCUACGCUUAUUUUUCAUAAUUUAAUAUUAUGCGCCUAGAGUCAAAAGACCUUAAGUAAAGUCUCAUCUACCCAAGGAUUAAAGU